AGGGAGGCAUUUUUCGGAGGUCUCAAGAAGGUAACAAAUACAAUAAUGUGUGUGUGUGUGUGUGUGUGUGUGUGUGUGUGUGUGUGUGUGUGUGUGUGUGUGUGUGUGUGUGUGUGUGUGUGUGAGUACAGGGACAACCUUCCUCGACCUUUAUAACUGAAGCAAAGUGAUUUAUUUAUUGUUUUUUUUUUAGUGCUGAAGGACUUUUUGGAAGCUGUCUAACCUUCCAAAUGCUUGCUGGAGUCUUUCGAAGACGAACACAACAUUGUGACCGUCCAAGUGCCUUAGCUCCCUCAGCCUGGAGACCGAUUACUUGGGAGAGUGGACAUGCCAGCAACCUGAUGGUUCCUGGUUCAAUCCCCACCUUUCUACCAACUUCGUCACAUCCGUCGUGUCCUUGAGCAAGACACUUCACCCUUGCUCCUGAUGGGUCCUGGUUCGGGCCUUGCAUGGCAGCUCCCGCCAUCAGUGUGUGAAUGUGGAAGUAGUGUCAAACUGCUUUGAGUACCUUGAAGACCCUCUUCGCUCCCCGGAUUCAAGAUGUGUGUCUUGUCUCCCUUGGUUCCCUCUGGUCUUUUUGCUGCCUUCCUGUAUCUCAACCUCUCGCCUGGACACGGACUCUGACGCCUCGCUACUGCCCUUGACUUAACGCCUGCCCACGGACCUUCGAGCUUUGCCUUGCCCUUCCUGGACUUCCGCCUCUCACUCAACACGCACCUUCAACAACUCCCAGUAAUACUCAGACGUCACACCAUACACAUUUUGGACUAGUUACACGCCUCAUUUCAUAUUGUAUAUAUAAUAAAUAGAGCUAAACGACGUCCUUGCUUCUGUGCCGUCUUCUUCCCCCGCUGUCACGCCUAAUAAAGCGUUUAAAGAUAAAAAAUGCAAUCUGGGAUAUUGUAUGUGAUGAAUGGGGGGAAUCAUGCAAUGUGGAUAAAAGCUGUGAUGUAUACAAAAGUUGACAUUCGUAAUAAAGUAUUUACAGCUUGCAUUUGGCAUGAGGUGAAACAAAAUUGACAACACCAUUUUAUGAACAAUACAUUAUGUCAUAAGGAUUACUAGGAUGUGUUGGAGGAUUAAGGGGUCCAAGGUGGAACACGGCAAAUCAUGUGGAAUACAAGCUAAAAUCUGGAAUAAGGGGUGUCAUGUGAAACCAAUUAUGGAAGCAAUGCUGAAUAAAAAAUGACAAACGGAGGAUGCCCCAUCUUAAAACUAAUUUGUAUUCGCUAGCCUUUAAAUAGACCACCCUUUUAGACCAGUUGAUCUGCCGUCUCUUUUCUGCUCUGCCCCCCUCUCCUGUGUGGAGAGGUUAUUAGGUGACCACAGAUGAGGCGCUACCUGUCCAAAGUCAGGACCCGGGGUGGACCACUCAUCUGUGCAUCAGUUGGGGACGUCUCUACGCUGAUGACCUGUCUCCACUCAAGAUGAUCCCCUGCUGACCCCACUAUGGACUGGACUCUCACACUAUUAACUAGAUCCACUCGAGAUCCAUUGCACCGGUUGCCCGGGGGUGAGGGGGGGUCCCCACAUCUGCGGUCCCCUCCAAGGUUUCUCAUUGUAUCCCAUUGGGUUGAGUUUUUUUCUUGCCCUGAUGUGGGAUCUGAGCCGAGGAUGUCGUAGUGGCUUGUGCAGCCCUUUGAGACACUUGUGAUUACGGGCUAUAUAAAUAAACUUGGAUUGAUUGAUUGAUUGAUUGAUUGAAUGCAGACUAAAGGAUGUAAUAUUGACAAAAUUAUGCAAUGUCGAAUAAAGGAUGUAAAAUGGACAGAAGGAUGACAUCGAGUAAGGGAUGCAAAAUGGACAAAAGGACACUAAAGGACGUAAUAUUGACAUAAUGAUGUGUGUGACAAAAUGGUGUAAUAUGGAAUAAAGGAUGUAAUGUGAAA